UAGUGCAUGACCGGCAUGACCCGUCAUGGCCGUCAUGUCCUCUGUCACUUUUGUCAGGUUUCUCUCUGUUGGAAAUAUCGAGGAAUUGUGUUUAUUAGUUAAAUAGUUAUAACUAAACAAGAUCUAUAAACGAAUAAUUGUUAAAUUGUUCAAAGGAUUUGAUUAGAAAAUUCUGAGAUUUGUUUGAAAGUAAUCGGAUCGUACCUCAUUUAAUUUGUGGCUCUACUAUUUGAAUACUUUCGUCAUAUAUUGUAAUAGAUGUAUGAUAUGCUGUAGAGCAGAGGAGAAACGUGCAAGUAUUAACGAGUACUUAAAUUAGGAUAAAUCUGUUUUAAAAAGGGAAUAAAAAAUACAAUCUCCUAAUAUGAGAAAAUCAUUUAUGCGACCAAGCAGUACCUACUACGCCAUAAUACCAUUAAUUAUAGGAUUUCAUAUAGGUUGGUUCGCCUUGCAACAGCGUUAUGUUCCAGUAUCCGAAAGACACGAUCAUCCACUGGUCAAAUUGUAUAAGAAAUAUACUACGUAAUAAUGCAAUCCACCAAUUUUCCAGUUUGCCGGUCCCUACACUGGAAGACGACACCAUAGCUACCCUCGCCGAGACGCGCCAGACGCUCAUAACGCUCCAUGGCUUUGCUCGGUGCCCGAGACCUGUGCAAAAUCAUUUUUCUCGAUAGAUAACAGCGGAAA